rnacentral:rRNA from 1 species
UGCAAGUCUAAGAAUGAGGGAUCUCUCGAAUCUGCGAAAGGCUCCGUAUAUCUGUUCUAACCCGCCGCCCGCCAUAGGGACUAUUAGGCGGAUACCCCCGGUAAUUCUGAGGUUAAUACGUGAUGCGCCAGGCGGGCUCCGAGGGAUCGGGGCCCGCCCCAGGCUAGGACGAUGCGACGCCGGGGCAGUGCUCAAAUUGCGGCCUCCGAGGCCGGGCUCUCGCGGGGUGUAGUGUUCGGUGGUGCUCAGGAAUGUACAGCCGGCGUCCCCCGUGAUCCCCCCGGGCAAAAGCGUGAUGGAGUCCUUGAGUUUACUGGACCGCCCCCUCGGGGGCGGCUGGGCGGCGGGGGCCAGACCUAUCAACUAGACGGCCAGGGAUCGCCUGGCCGUGGUGAUAACGGGUACAGAGGAUCAGGGUUCGAUCCUGGAGAGGUAGCCUGAGAGAUCGCUACUACUUCUAAGGAAGGCAGCAGGCGCGCAACGUUCCCAAUGGGGAUACCCUGAGGACGUGAAGGGACAUAUUAAUGCCCGGCCCUUAAAGCCGGGCAAUUGACAUGGGGGAUCGCUAAACCUCCCACCGAGUAACAAUUA